CAAAAUUAAUGAAUAAGAGGUCCCGCCUGCCCUGUGACUAUAUGUUUAACGGCCGCGGUAUUUUGACCGUGCGAAGGUAGCGCAAUCACUUGUCUUUUAAAUGGAGACCCGUAUGAAUGGCAUAACGAGGGCUUAGCUGUCUCCUUUUUCAAGUCAAUGAAAUUGAUCUUCCCGUGCAGAAGCGGGAAUAAGACCCAUAAGACGAGAAGACCCUUAUGGAGCUUUAGACACCAAAGCAGCUCAAUGUUAAACACCCCUAAAACAAAGGGCCAAACAAAAUGAAACCUGCCCUAAUGUCUUUGGUUGGGGCGACCGCGGGGAAACAAAAAACCCCCAUGUGGAAUGGGAACACCCUCUCCUAAAACAAAGAGCUCCCGCUCUAAUGAACAGAACUUUCUGACCAAUCAGAUCCGGCAACGCCGAUCAACGGACCGAGUUACCCUAGGGAUAACAGCGCAAUCCCCUUUUAGAGCCCAUAUCGACAAGGGGGUUUACGACCUCGAUGUUGGAUCAGGACAUCCUAAUGGUGCAACCGGUGUUUNGG
rnacentral:rRNA from 1 species